rnacentral:rRNA from 1 species
AGUUGAUCCUGGCUCAGGAUGAACGCUGGCGGUGUGCUUUAAGCAUGCAAGUCGAACGAAGCUGUAGCAAUACAGCUUAGUGGCGGACGGGUGAGUAACGCGUAGGAAUCUACCUUAAAGUGGGGAAUAGCCCUCCGAAAGGAGGGGUAAUACCGCAUGUGAUCGUAAGAUCAAAGACCUUAACCGGUCGCUUUAAGAGGAGCCUGCGUCCUAUCAGCUAGUUGGUAAGGUAAAAGCUUACCAAGGCGAUGACGGGUAGGGGGUGUGAGAGCAUGACCCCCCACAAGGUCACUGAGACACGGGACCUACACCUACGGGUGGCAGCAACUGGGAAUCUUGCGCAAUGGACGAAAGUCUGACGCAGCGACACCGCGUGUGGGAUGAAGUAUUUCGGUAUGUAAACCACUGUGGCGAGGGAGAAAGAUCUGAUAGUACCUCGCUAGAAAGCAUCUGCUAACUACGUGCCAGAAGCCUCGGCAAUGCGUGGGAUGCAAGCGUUAUCCGGAUUUACUGGGCGUAAAGGGUUUCGCAGGCGGACUGUUAAGUCUAGCCUUAAAUACUGGGGCUCAACUCCAGCUACAGGAUUGGAUACUGGCAGUCUUGAGGAUAUCAGGGGGAACUGGAAUACUCGAUGGAGGGGUGAAAUCCGU